rnacentral:miRNA from 1 species
UUGUAUAUUACAUAUAUAGUAUGUGUGUGUGUGUGUGUGUGUGUGUGUAUAUAUACACACAUAUAUAUACACAUAUAUAUACACACACACAUAUA